ensembl:lncRNA novel transcript
AUCAAGGCACAGUCUUUUGAAGAACAUCAUUUUGAGAAGACAGUGCCUAAAGAUGACGAUUUAAUAUGUACAGUUGCAGAGUGGCACUCCUCCAUCUCUCUGGGAGAUCCAACACUUGAGGGCUUAUGAGCCGUUUCAGUAUGAAUGAAAGGGAGAAGAACAGAACAGAGGCUAUAAAGCAUGGCUUCAGCAUCUGCUUCUGCUGAGAGCCUCAGAAAGCUUCCGGCUAUGGCAGAAAGUGAAGGUCAGCAAGCAUCACAUGAAUUACAAAUCUAGUUUAGCCCAGGACCAGAUGGAUUCACAGCCGAAUUCUACCACAAAUUCAAAGAAGAGCUGGUACCAUUCCUUCUGAAAAUAUUCCAAACAAUUGAAAAGGGGGGACUCCUCCCUAACUCAUUUUAUGAAGCCAGCAUCAUCCUGAUACCAAAACCGGGAAGAGACACAACAAAUAAGAAAACUUCAGGCCAAUAUCCUUGAUGAACAUUGAUGAGAAAAUCCUCAAUAAAAAACUGGCAAACCGAAUCCAGCAGCCCAUCAAAAAACUUAUCCACCACAAUCAAGUUGGCUUCAUCCCUGGGAUGCAAGGC